UCGCCAGACUCCUACGGGAGGCAGCAGUGGGGAAUAUUGCACAAUGGGGGAAACCCUGAUGCAGCGACGCCGCGUGAGUGAAGAAGUAUUUCGGUCUGUAAAGCUCUAUCAGCAGGGAAGAUAAUGACGGUACCUGAGUAAGAAGCCCCGGCUAACUACGUGCCAGCAGCCGCGGUAAUACGUAGGGGGCAAGCGUUAUCCGGAUUUACUGGGUGUAAAGGGAGCGUAGACGGCAUGGCAAGUCUGAAGUGAAAGCCCGGGGCUCAACCGCGGGACUGCUUUGGAAACUGUUAAGCUGGAGUGCAGGAGAGGUAAGUGGAAUUCCUAGUGUAGCGGUGAAAUGCGUAGAUAUUAGGAGGAACACCAGUGGCGGAGGCGGCUUACUGGACGGUAACUGACGCUGAGGCUCGAAAGCGUGGGGAGCAAACAGGAUUAGAUACCCCCGUA
rnacentral:rRNA from 1 species